UUUCUCUUGCAGGCAAUAUUUUCUAUACUGACUCAGGAGUUAGUUAUCAGGUAUGGAAAAUUAAACAUUUUAAAAAGACCCUCACUGCACAGGCUGUGGGAGAAGAAGAGGAGCAGCGGGAGAGGGAACGUGACAGAGGAGGGAGAAAAGGAAGAGUAUCAUCAUCUUGGGAAGGAGGUCCACACCUGGAACUGACCAAGCAGGUAAUAAAGAUUGUAAGGAGAGACUCCAGAGGAAAUGUGGACCAUUGGGCACACCAGGCUUGGAAAUGCUUCCACUUUUGCAGGUAUACAGAUGCCAAGAGAUCACACAGUCACCCUAGAGUCUUUAAGUGAGCGGAGGGAACCAUUCAUGGCAUCACUGAAAAGCUUAGGCCUUUCAAAAGGAAGGUUCUCCACGGUAUUUUGUAUCUCCCUGGCAAGGCAGAGGCUUGCAACCAUGACACCUAAUGCAUGGUUACAGCAGUUGCCAUCGAAUGUGAAGCUGUAUGUGCCCCAUUGAGAGAAGACUGAAAGGAAGCCUUAAUGAUUAACUGGCCUUCUGGGAAGAGGGCUUGUAACUGCUCCCUCUGGUCUUGAGGCAAAUGUUCAGUGAAAUGUGAAAAUGUAAUGUAAUUUGUGAAGUCAUAUUUUGCAUAUGUGAUGGGGCUUAAUCCCCAUCACCUGCAAUGCUAGUGAAUGCACCCAAUUAGUCAUGCUCCGCAGCUGUGGGGGGAGCAGGUGAAUACUUAAUUGGCUCCCAGCCAGAGGGAGCAGAGCUAAGCCACAAAAUAAGUAGAUUGAAGGAGUUCAACUGAGGGGAGAGACUGCAGAAGAGACAGGUGCCUCUGGCUGAGAGAAGCCCAGUGUUAGGUAACAGAGAUAAUGGGGGCAGUCCCCUACAGGGGCUGCAUACACUCCUGCAAAGGAAGCCCAAAACAAGAAUACAAGGAGAGGACUUCAGCAGCCCAAAGGGGCAGGAGAAUUAUCCAUAUUCAUUUGGACUUGUUUAUGAUACCCUGGAAGUGGUUUGAACUUUGUGACUUUGCCAGAGGACUGAGCCACUGGAGUCAGAAGCAGGAAGUCAGCAGGAGGCACUGAAGUCAAAGACAGCAGCAACAUCUCGCCCACCACACAUCAAGGCCCGAUAGUUCACAACUCUAAAUUGGAGAGCAACCAAGGAAUAGCUCUUGUAGCCUGUAAGGUCCAUGUACUUACAUUAUUUAUCAGAAGGCGUAUUGCUUAUUUCUUUCAUUGACAGCAACUAUCACCAAGGAGUUAGGGGUGGAAUUGGAGGGGAAAAAAUACUCCAAAUCUUUGACCAACAGAUAGUAUUUUUUAUCAAUCCAUUUGCAUGGGGCUGGGAUUGUUACUGCCAAAUCAUACAGGCCAGUGAGAGUAAUGCCUCAAAUGGGCAAGGCAAACUUGCUCUGGGGAGAGGAAUGCAGAAUAUCCACCAGGAGUGUUGAGUUUCUUGUAUUUCCUCUAUUUAGCAAUUCUUUUCAUCAGAUCUUGAAAGACCCUGAUAUCAUCAUCUGUAUAGGAUGCUGGUACAGGCAUAACUGCCUUGCUGGGUGAGGAUGAUUUAUUACAUGGUGUCUCCUCCUCAGCUAUUAGCUCCUGUUCCUGGGGAGGAGGGUCCUGCAAUAAUGGUGGCUGCUGGCUUGCUGGAUCCUCUUCCAUGAGGGUACCCUAUAAAACUGGUCACCAUAAGGGGUCCAGGGAUUGCGAAAAGCCCACUGUGAUAGAGCGCAGAGAAAGGGAACAGGACCCAAGUGGUUCCUGCCAGGGUUGGUGUGGGGUCCCUGGGGUCUCAUCCUCAGGAUACAACUCUAAGAAGGAAAGUUGGAAUGGGAAUGUGAUGGAGUCCUAGACAGAAAUGUCCGAGAAUUGUCAUCUCCUGUAUCUAACAGGAGCCAACAGUAUCCAUACCGGUGUUCAAGGUGGGACUGACAACCAAGUCAGUACUGGAGGCAGAGUCUUUGUAUGGGGGCACAGUAGCACUGAUAGGGAUUCCAUCUCUGGAAGGCACGUUGGUACCAAUAAGUGAUCCCUCCCAGUACCCCUUAGCAAAGGGGAUUCAGGUUCCUUCAUGGCUUGGAUAUCCUCAUGGGAGCGGAACCUAGUCGGUACCAGAGAACCUGGGUACAGUUCUACAGGAACAUCAGGUGGUACCAAAGACAGUACAUAAUACAUAACAGUGUGUAUUCUUUGUCACCAUGACCUGAGGAAGAGGGAACUGGAGCAGAGGUCAAAGCUGAUUUUUUUUAAAGGAGUGUUUGUUCCUCAAGGAGUCCCUUGCAUGUGGAGGGCUCUGAUUCAAGUACUGGCAAUGGCCGCUGAAGGCUGAUUACAAGAAGACUUCUUGUUGUGGGUUGAACUGGAAGUCUUUUGGAGGUACCAGCAUCUCGGUACAAGGCUGGUACAUGCCUCAGCAGUACUUGCACUGGGACGCAAGGUCUCCUUGUCCCCUGGCCUUACAGGUGACUUUCCCCUUUUUCGGAGGCUCUCUCCAAGUAAUCAAGUUUUUUCUUUUUUGAAUGCUUCAAAGCAUUUGAAGCUUUCCCAGGGUCUCUACUUAUCAAGAUUGAAGAAGUCACCAGAGUACCCCGAACAGCUGAGGUCAGUGUAGGGGGACGGAGGGGGAUUUCAAUCCCAUGGGUCUCAUGGAAUGUUCCAAGAGGAGACACUUCAGUCUGUCUUCCCUCAUUUUCCUAGACCUGCUCUUGAAACCUGAACAGACCAUGCACUAAAAACAAGACUAGGAACUCUCCAAUGCAGUGGCGGCAGCUGGAAUGCCCAUUGCUGAGAGAGAAAGACCUAUGGUAGGUCUGGCAGGAUUUGAAACUUCAGGGCUUUGGCAUAACCCACAUAGGGCAGGCCACAAAACAAAACAGGAGCCAAGGACUGCAGGGGGAAACAAAGGGGGGGGAGGGACCCCCCCCCCAGAUGCACAAACUUGUGCUAAAAACAAUAAACAAAAUAAGAACCAAAUAAAAGGAGAUCGAUUACAUUGAAGUAGGCUGCUCAUUAGUGGACACUGCAGUACUCCAUCUUGAGCCGCAGGCAGCUGAGAAGAAACUGGAAUGGCAGUGGGUCUGGUUCUCCCAAUAUUACCAGAGCACGAGGAUGUGAUGGGUACACAUGCUGACACAGCUGCCAAAAAUCUUCUAUCAAAAGUGCACAAGCAUGCACACAUCCUAAUGUGGAGCACCCAUCAGACAAUAAUUCAAAAAAGAAUUCAAACUUCAAAAAUCUGCUGGUAACUAGCCUCUAAUACCUUUAGUAAAAAUAGAAAUUAUUCUGUAACAUUACCUGUUCCCAAGUUUACCAGCUGUAGGUGAUUGUUACAAUAGUAUAGAAUUAAUUAGACAUUCCAGUAAUGCAGUAAAAUACUAUGGGCCUGAUGCAAAGCACAUUGAAGUCAAUGGCAAGACUCCAAUUUGGCUUUCCAUUUAGGCCCCUUAUAAGCCAGUAACAUUGUAUUAUUCUAAAUCUCUAAGCUACCUGUAAUCACAGAGCAAGGCUAACUAUGAAUACUCUAUUUUUAUGCAUAUUCAUAAAAGUAGACAGAAAUAAGUGUUUUCCAGCAACUCAUACUGGGUCUGAUUCUGACUAAUAUUAGCGUAAACAAGGAGUAAGUCUAUUGAAUUCAACGAAUCUACACAGUUUAAAAUGUAUAGAUUUUUUGUUGUUGUUCAGACUAAUGAAUAUUCUGUUCAUUGAAAUAGUCAUCAUGUGUGAUUAAAAUGAUCCUUUUUCAAUCUGGCAACAUAUUUCAAAUAGUUGCGUGCACAAACAAGUAGGCUAAAGUCAAAAGUUUCGAAUGCGCUUUCUAGCAACCUUUUACCAAAAACUAUACUGCAGGGAUCAGCAACCUUUGGCACGCGGUUCGCCAGGGUAAGCUUAUAGUGCAUUCCCUUCCCUCUAAAACAUUUCUCCUAUGUCUAAAAUGUCUCUCGACAGGGAAUUCCCAGACUUUUCUCUGUUGUGACCCCUCUUUUAAAAUAUCAAAAUAUUUGUGACUUGCUUAUAGACUUAUUUGUUUACACAGGGCCAAAUUUAUCAAAGCUGGUGCUGGGACAGGUAAAGUUCACCUUCCUGAGCCAGCUAAAUCCAUUGUCCCAGAGAGGAGAUUCAGUACUCUGCAGGACAAUCUGAAUUCUUGUCACCAUACAUUCCCUAUUGUGAAUGGGUGUUUACAAAGCCUGGCAUACUUGACAGCAAGCUGGAACUAAAAUCUGUGCAAGGACUUCAGUUCUACAUCACUCUGGUGUAGUAGAUUGGAAAAAAAACUAUGGCAGCUCAAUUUAACUUUUUUUAAGUGAGUUAAAUAUGAAAAUGAAUAGUAACAUCAGUGUCUUUGCCAUUUAUUUUUAUAUUAAACUUAUGCUAUGCUGUCCACACAUUUAUGGUUUUCACUAUGCCACGGAUUUUGGUUUUGAAGACCUACAGCUGCAUUGUAGGAGUGGUCAGGAUGGAAGCUGGAGGUUUCAGUAGCUCACUGAGAAUCAUCUGGGGCUUUUAGAACCUAGAUUGGUAUGGAAGGCAAUUUGAAUUGUGGGUUAAACACAUUAGUUACAUGUUUCUGCUAAAAUAAUAAAGUAAAAGCAGUGAACUAGUUAAUUUAGAUAUUUAAAUGCCAUCUUAAGGUUUCAGUGUUAACACUUCACUGAGAUGAAUGGGUCAGGUUACAGUCCUAAUAGCUAUGCUGUCUGCAGUCUCAGGAAGAUAGCAUAGCAUCAGUUAUGACUGGUUUUCAUGUUUACCUUUGUAAUUAUGAGGAUUGGAAACAAUUAAAUCAUGGAAUACUACUACCCUGGUGUUCUUUUACAUUCUUUAGUAGUUUUCCAAAAUAUGCUGUGAUUGGCAAUCUGUUACUAUGAAAACAACCCCUAAAAAGUUAAUAUGAUUGCAGUGGGAAGGGGUGAGCUAGAGAACUUGGAAUUGUAACUAUGAAGACAGUAGAGUCACCUCCUUAUUUUAAAGGUGACUGCUAGACUAGGGACCUGAUUCUCAUCUCCCCACUAAUCAACACUUACCACACUCUCUCUCAUAUACACAUUAUGGCAGAACAUUUUGAGAGGGGUGCAAGCAGGCACAAAGAGAUAGAUUGAAUAUGCUUCAUUUACAUUUUACAGCACGUACUAAUCCUCCAGAAGGAGAGAUCAUGAAGUAAUUGUUACAAAACAGAUGUUUGCCUUGUUACUACACAACAGAACCUCAGAUACAUGUGGGUUUUUUUUUUCCAUUUACUGAGAAGGAAAUAGUGGUAGGUGAGGUAACCCCACCUUGUUGUAAAUGUUGGUAAAAGAUCCUUUUUAAAGGUGACCUCUUUAUAGCUCUAUUUCAUUAAUUUGUAUAUUUUUCACUUCUCUAAGUUGAAUAUUUAUAUUACAUUUUUUAAAUAAGGAAGUUCAAAUAUUUCAUUUAAACGCCGCAAGACCUCGGGGUCCUGAUCCACAUUUUCUGAGGCACUGCUCUAGACUACAGAGCUCUGAAAUUAUGUAAGCUGGUAAGAUAUUUUUCUACAGGGAUGCUACCCAAUGGAAAUCUCAGCUUGGACUUGCAAAAUGUGAAUGAAAUUUAAACUGCAGCUAUACUUCAAAGAGAAAUGGCAAAAAUGUAAUAGUUUACAAAUAAGGGGAUGGUGAAUAUUCCUCCUCGCUGCCAGUCCUAGAACUCAACUUGGGGUCAAAAUUCAAGCUUUAUUCUUUCUGGCUUGUGCAUCAACGCUAGUAUUAAAUGGUGAUAUUCUGCCCUGCACCUCUUAGAGCGGCAGCACAGAACUUGCAGCCCAAGGAUGUGGAGAGCUUACCGUGGCUUUUAGCCACCUUUGAACCCUCCUGAUACUGGGCUGCUCCAGGAGUUAAAGAGGCCUAGAACAAAACCUAGAUAGCCAUGGGGAUCUGUCUAAGUUAUGGCAGCCUCUCAGGCCUGCCCUAUGGGACCCCAGUGCCCACCACUGACACGUCCCCUCCAGCUUCACCCCUAGCAUUCCCCCUAAGUCAGGACCUGCAAGGGGAUUCUCUGAAGGCAGCCUUUGGCAGUUUUCUGCAGUGCCUGCCACCAGGGGAAAUCAUCCCCUGUCCACAAUGGAAGCUUUUGGGGCUCCUUUUCAUCAUUCUGGCCAUUUUAAUGGAUGUCAAGGAGUAGGAGUGAGGAUCUCACUCAUAAACUCGGCAGUUCUGUUGAGAUGAGUGAUUCAGUUCAUUCUCCCAUAGCCCUGUAGAGGCAGCACAGCUAACAGGAGAAAACGCAGAAAUGUACUAAUGCCACUGAAGGAGACAAAAAUAGGAUUCUAAAAACACAGACAGCAAAUCAGUUGAAUACACUUUUAUGGUUUAAUUUUUCUUUUUACACAGAUUAUGAGACUGUUGCAGAAAAGAGUCACUUUUGUAUGCAACUAUUUCAAUGGAUGGUACUAGUUAUGUAUUUAAGUAUUUGAUCUUUUCUUAUUUGACUGGAUGUCUUCAUUGAAGUCAAUUUAUUUUCAUCUUUUUCAGUUUUGAAUUAAAGUACUGUAACUUGCACUGGCUGAGAAGUUGACUAUGCUGUCAUUAUAAUUUAGAUAUCUAUUUUAGGCUGAGCUUUCACCAGGCUAGCAUUGUACAUGAGAUGCUGUACUGCAAUGUAUUUACCAUGUGGAAUAUUAAAAAACUAAAUAAAAAGUGAGUGUGACCAACUUACUUUAGCAUU